GCCUGCCGCUGCCGCGCUUGUUAGGCGGCGCGGGCGCGGGAGCAGGUGCCCAGCAGCAGGUGCCCGGCAGCAGCCCGCACCGUACCGCGCAGCGCAGGAGCAGAGGGGCUCGAGCGAGAGGCGCGGUCCCGGCUGUAAGCAAGAAAAUUUCCUCGCUCACCGAGCCCUCUUCGAGCAGCGCGGCGCUCCGCUGCCAGGGAGCUCCUGGCGCCGGUCCGGUCCCGCUGCCGCCGCCCCGGGCAGCACGCCCCGGCGCCCUUCUGGCUGCGCUUCCGGCCCGACGGACCCCGCGCCGCGUCCGUGCCGAGGGGCCGCCGCCAAAUCUGGGCCGGAGCAGAAGGGAUUCACUGUGAACUAUGAGUGCCGCAACAUAAGUUUUCUAAAUGGCAAAUGCGUCCAAAAGUAAACUUGUAUUCAGACAUUAAAAUCAACUGGAGUUGGUAGCAUCCUCUCUGGAAGUUAAAUAUCACUGAAAGCUGGGGCGGUACGGGGGUCGGGUUGCGCGUAGCCGAUCCCUCGGGCCCUGCGGGAGCCGGUACUGCGGCGGGGAGGGCACCCGGGAGCCGGGUACUGCUGCGGGAUGGGCAGCAGCACUGAGGCGGCUAGGGGCAGUGCAACUGCAGCAAGGAGACGGGAGAAGGAAGACGGACAGAGCGGCGUCGGAGACAGCAGAAAGAAAAACUCCUGAGAAGUGUGAAAAGAAAAGGAGGGGGAGGAGCUACCCACAGGCUGCCAGGAGCCGUCCCGCUGGCAGCUUCUGGUCUCUGCUGUAUCGUUGCCGAACUGGGCAUCAAGGUCAGAAACAGAAACUUUCUUCAAAUCAAAUCGUUAUUUCUAAAUAUGUCUAAGGGCUAAAGCAAAUCAGAAUCAGCCACAAUAAGAAUUUUGCUUCCUUAUCAAUACUGGUGAAAUGGCAGAGGGAAACGCAAACUGAAGGAGCGCAACUUUGUAAAAAGUUCUGAGUGCUUAGCUGCGUUCUUCUGACAUUACGAAAAAAUAUCUGUAUGUUCCUCUUUUAAGGCACUUCCUCUGCACAACAGACACAUUUCUUGUGCGCUGCUUUCUGUAGCACUGUUCUGAUGGGUUCCCUCCUCAGCUGGAGUUCACCCAUGAUGAUUCCGGGGGACUGCUGUGGCAGAAGCAAGGGGGGCUCUGGUUCCCAGCUCCAUGGGCUCAGAGGGAUGGAAGUAACAAAGAACAAGAACUGCAGGAGCUGGGAAAAGGAACAGAUCUGUCGAUUUCCUAGAAGCCGUACCCUACAAACAGGAGAUGGGCAGACAGGCAGGGGGAAGUGCAAACCUGCCUGUGCUGGACACCAUCAUUCCUAUGGACACUUUGCCUUGCGCUUGACUUGCGCUGUAAGCCCAGCUUCUGCAGCUCUGGCUUUAAUAAAGUAACGCCAGCCAUGCAAAUGAGAUAUUACUUCAUUUUCAUUAAAUGUCACAUGCUGAGCUAGGCAGUUAUGAUGGUUUUCUCUGCAUUGACAACAGGCUGUUAUUUGUACUGGGAAAAGAGAAAGGAUGCUCAGCAGGAGGAUGUAUGUACUGGUAUAUAAGAACAUGCCUUAAUUAGUGAUGUGUGGCAAAGAGCUCCCAAGCUAGGAGUGCAGAUUUGCAAAUCCAGAUGUUUACAGAGGGAUGAGAAUUACACGACUCCAUCUAAUUACAAACUGCUUUGUUAAUCAAUGUCACUGAGAUACAACAGGACAAUUGUUGUUCAGAUACAAUGGCAACAAUAUUACUUCGUUAACAAACUACAGUAUUUGUUAUUUGGUGUUAGACUGAAACACAAUCUAACACUAAGAGAUGGUAUUUCUCAUGUAGGGCCCUUUUUUUUUGUCUUUGUUUUCAAAAACAUUUCUGUGGGUAAGGAGAAAAUGUGUGAACCAUCCACCUUGUGGUAACUAGCCCUGAGCUGGUUAUGUGACUGGUUGGCUGGUCUGGCUUACAGAUUCAGAAUGGAUUGUCAGUCUGCAAAACUCCCCUAAUGCUUCACCUGGUUGUGAGGAAAAACACCAACUUGGAAGUAAUCUGGAGGAAAAAAAAUAGUUCAGUGAUUCUCAUAAAUUUCUGAUGAUCCAUUUCAGGACUGGUUACUGUCCUGCUCAGGCAAUGAGAAAGUUGCUUGUUUUAGUCCAGAAAAAUACGGGAAGACCAAAAAACCUUUUUGUUUGUUUUUUUACCUUACAGAAGGAAGUUAAAAGCUCAGAGGUACUGAAUUGAUGCCUUUAGAAACUGAAAUAUAAUUUAGCCAUAAAGCAGUUUAAACCAUGAGCAACAGCAGCAUUACCUGCCCUGCAUUACAUUGUCAGUAAGCCCUAAUCCUGUUUUAGGGAAAUCACCCUUGGAAACUCAGUCUCACUGGACAUUUAACUAGCUUCCCUUAUAAAGAAAACCUCUAAGGGGAGAAACUAUAAGCUUCUGAAAACAAAUACAGAAAAAUCUAUUAGAAGCCUUUUUUCCUUCAAGAGAACGAUUUAUCAAGAGUUUAGCUGGCUGUGUACAAAACCACCUUUUCAUGGACUACUUGCCUUUUGAUUUAAUCCUUUUUGAGUUAUAAAUACAAGGUCUGGCCUGUAACCAGAUAACUUAUAUGAAAUGUGGUUUGUUCGCAGUUCUGAAAAUGCAGUUUGUUCUCUGCUAUAUUAGUUGAACAGCAAAAAGGCAAUUCAGGGAUUCAUCUUUGCCCUUAUAAACUUCAGAUACCCCUCUCCCCUAGCAUCUGCUGGGAUUUUGUACAAAGUCUGAAGAUGUAUGAAAAUGAGAUUUAAAGCAAAAGACCUCUUGCUGAUCUAUACUGUGCACUACUACAACUGUUUGAUUUGCAGUUGUAAGAGAGAUUAGUAUGUAUUUAUGGUGAUUUGCUUAUGGUGUCACCUUCAGCUUCCACAGCAAGCAAUUAAGGUAUCUCAAAGAGCAGGUUGAGUCAGGUGAGAGCACACAGCAGGAACAAAUAAGCUGUUGGGGUCCCACCCAGCAGCAGCGAUCUGUCAGCCCACUCCCUAUGGAAUAAGAAUGACUGCAGAUUUGCUGCAUUGUGCUUGCCAGCACAGGUUUUGCACAGCAGAGAAAAGACAGAAUGGCACAGGCAGGCCGUUUCAGGUGCCAGUGGGGAACAGCACUGGGCCUAGGGAAUUCUCCUGUGAUUGCUUCUUCUUGUAGGAGAAAACAGGCACAGAGGGUAAAACCCAGCCAGUAAUGUGAACAGCUAAGGAGUGCAUAAGCUUUCUGAGGUGUGCACCCAAGAAUAACUGCCAGGUAGACAGUUGUGUAGAUUCAUAUCCAAACAUUCUGUAAUUUUAUUUGGCCCAAUUAAACCAGAUUGGUUCCCAAAUUUAAUCAUGCCCUGCUUCCUAUAGAAAAAUAGUUCUGAUUUUCUACUUUCAGAUCUUCUGCCCAGAGACUAACAAAAUAACAUUGGUGUUUUCCCAGAAAAUUGAUGUAUUUUAAAAUGUUUGCAAAGAUUGUGAUAAGAUGUUUAAAUAAAAAUUCGCAUUUUCCAGUUACAAUUUUGGCAAAUCUCAAUCUCAGAAAUGAGAAUUUUUUAUCUUUACAGGUAGCUGUAAACAGGAGGAUAACAGGGAAACUGUUAGAUGAUCUUAACCAAACUGGGAACAGCAGCAGUAGACAAAUAUAAAACUGUUGACCUUGAAGGAUCAUUGGGCUGCAUGGACAUUGGGUUCUGUACCUUCUGAAGAACAAAUUUAUUAAGACAGUGCCAGUAAUGUCAUCUGCUGCUUUUCAUUGGGUGCCUACAAUACAGUCUUUGAAUUCUAAUCUCCCAUUUAUACAUUACCUUGGAUGAAGUUAAAAGUGAGAAAAAUAUUAGCUCAAUGUAAAAGAUAGUUACAGAAUCACAGAAUUGUAGGGGUUGGAAAAUCAUUAAACAUGCUGGUUUAUAUAGCCGUAAUUGUCCAUAUACCCAUAAUGCUGCCAAGCAUUUCUUUCUUUACUAUUUUAAACUAACUUUGGAUUUCAGUCUUACCUUGAGAGAGCAUCUUCUCCAGAGGCAAAUCUCUUUGGUAUUUACUGAUGCCAUGAAAGUUGCUCAGAUAGGAUAUCAGCAGGUUUUCUUUCAGGUGCAAAGAAUUCCUAAGCGAGCAAAGAUGCAAGUGUCAGGAGCUUGACCUGUUUUUCUUGUCAGACGCUUCUGUCAAAACAAGUGCAUUGUUACAAAGAAAUAACUCAAAUUGAAAAUUAUUUGCUAUUCGAAUGGGUAAUUGUAUUUUAACAGGGCAAAAUCCCAACCCAACUUGCCAGAGAACACUCAGCUAAAGCCAGCAUGUGUUGGAACAGCAUGUGUGCUCACUGUAAUUGUAAAUGGGGAUACUGUGACCAUGCUGCCUCUUCUGAUUUAAAAGAAUUAAAACCAACACUGUCCAAAUUUUAACUGAAACUCCUAAUAAUUAGGGGUUAUUAGGGGCUAGCUUUAUUUUCUGCAACAGUUCUGUUGUAUUUGGAGAUUCUAUUUAAAUCUAGAAUUAAGAGCUGUGUUUGAACAGGUAAUCCAAUCUUCUCUGUGUAAUUUAGCCAAUGAUUUUUUUUUCCUGGUCCUUAGUUUUGGCUGUGUUUCAAGAUAAACACUGAAACUGCAAUACUAAAAAUAACCUCAUUCAAUAUAUUUUACCCCAAAGGAUAUACCAGGACAGCCUACAAAUGAUCUGUAAAAUUCUGAUUUAUUUAUUUAUUACUUACUGAGGAAGCUCAGUGACAGGGUACUGAUGGGGACUUCACAGUGUACAUCCUCCCCUCUAGCGGCUGUUCCUCUCACAGAAAAGUUGCAACACUUCAGCAUUUCAUCUGUACUAGGUACAAAGUGAUGGGCACAGCAUGGAGGAAAGCUAGACAGGAAGAAGACAUUAGAUACAAUCUUUUAUGCACUAGGAUAUUCAAAUCUUGGAGUGAUAAGAGCUAUAAGAAGACAGAGAUGCACAAUGAGAACUGCAGGUUUGACAAUAUUUUUGUGAAAAAUAUGUUUUCCUUGAAAGAUGAUAGCAGUUGUGAUCACCUGCAUGCAAAACCAGCUUCACAGCCAUUUCUCAGCCUCUCAGACCAAUCUUUUUGUCAGCUUGUCUUGCUUUCCUAUAUUGCCAGUGCCUUACAGGACUCAUAGAGUGAAAAAAAAAAUGUCAGUAAACCUAUAGGAUAUCUAUCCCUCUUAUUUCCUCCAAACCUUUUUCUGCUAUCCACUACAUUCUCCAAUUCACCUGUCCUUUUGUCCUUAACAUUAGCAAACCCAUAUCCUAGUCUUCAUGUACAUUGUUUACUUUUUUGCUAUUUCUACUAUGAGAUAAGUGCCUCUAAUACAACCCAACGCACAUUCCCAAAUUGCUGUCAAAGUGAUGUGAAAAACCCAUGACUCUCAGGAGAAUAGAUCACUGCAAAAGCAGAGCUAUCCAUAAACUAGGUUGCAGAGUUACAAUCAGCACAUGGAAUAUUUUGUAAGGACUUAUUUCUUGCCUGCACACAGGGGCAAGUGGUCAUGCAAGGAAGUCCCUGCACUGUACUGCAGCUCUGGCCAGCUUUUCCAGGCAUUGCACCAGGGGCACUACGAAGUCUAAAUAUCUCAAACUUUGGAAGUAGGCUGGAAAAAAAACAAACAAACAGGGGGAGAGAAAAAAUGCUGGAAUUUCGUUCAUGUCUCACAAUGAGAACCACACUGUGAGAGUUUCCUGUCUCUUCAACUGAAGAUCUCUCUUUUUCCUCUGCUUACUGUCACCCUAUUUGAUUACAUCCACUUACACCAGUUUCAUAGCAAGGUUGGUCUCUCCAGCUGUAUUUGUCCAUUCUGGUUCUGAACAGAACAGUCUAGGUCUUUGUAACCUACAGUAACUAGAUUUCAUCAGUGCUUGUCAGUGCUCUGGCAGAAUAUACCAGCGAAGGCUAUUAGAUGCCUCCCUGUUUUCGUAGCACUUACUGGACAUACAGUCUCAGAGUACAUUUCCAUCAAAAAUAAAAAUCUGGCAUGAUGUGACUAUCAGAUCUGGAGACUUUUAACCACAAGUCACCAGCAAUUAAAAUCCUAAUAUUAAUAUUUCGUUAAGGUCUCCUCCUUCUGAGUAAGUAACUCAUUAUUCAACUAGACAAAUGUGUUUGCAGCCUUCCCAGCAGGAUAACUCUCUAAAAUAAUGGGUUACUUACCAAUUCUUUGAACUUCAUCUGGGACAAUUCUUACUGCCUUUUUUCCUCUCUGGAUUUGGAUAGGAAAAUUAUUAAUAGUUACAUGUAUUUUCAGCAAAAAAAAAAAAAAAAAAAAAAAAAAGAAAUAGAAAA